CUUCAAUUAACCCAAAAUAAAUAAUUAUAAACUCACUUUCUAUUAUAAAUGUCUGUAAUCAAAGGCCUAAGAAUAGGAAGUUUAUUAUUACCAUAUUGUUAUAGAAAUAAUCUGUUGAUAUUUUCUCUUCUAUAUAGAAACAUCUCAUCUAUCUACUUGAGCACUGGGUUGAAAAUGGAAAUCAGGAGCCCUGAGCACAAGGUUCUACAUUCCAGCUGGUGCAAAAACUGAGCGGUCAUUUGGCACUGCACUGUCACUAAGGAUUUCACCAAAAAGGUGAUAGCUUCUAUUUGCAAAGGGGCAGUGACCAUGAGCUCUAUUGAAAAACAUGAAUAUCUGCAUCUUCGGCCUGCUGAAUGCUCACGUAGGUUUCUCCAGUCCCCAUGAAUACUCUCUCUGGCAAUUUUCCUCAUGCAAAGCAGACAUUGAAUAAAACAGGUUGGUUUUUUUUUUUUUUCAUUUAUUUAAGCAAAAUACAUAGGUAACUCUAGCAGUGCAUUUUAGUUUCAGAGUUCUCUGUCUUCCUUACUUCUAAUCUAUUUUCAUAUUAUAUUUUCUCUUUAUCAGUGAGAUCUCACCAUACUGACAUCAAUAAAUCUUACCAUUCACUCCAACCCUAUGUCAGGGUUGAGAGCUGUUUUCUUCCUCUCAGACCUUUCUGUCACAUUUCAGGCUACACAUCCAAGGCUUGGCUUGAGGUUUUAGAACAGUAAUACCAAAGUAUGCCAUGACCUAGUCAUUGAGUCUAGGUUUCUUUCCCAACUAUAUCAUUUUAUAGGUGAAAUGACCAUAACAACUAUCCCCACAAAUCUUUUUGUGGUAAUACUUAUGUUCCAGGAGUUGGGGAAAAGGGUUGGACAUGAUACAGUCUUCUUAACGUACAGAAGGUUAAUUUUUCGGUUCCUUAAGAUUAAAUCUAAGAUGUUGAAGUAAAAAGUGCUUCUUCUUUUAAAAGAAGCACAAAAUUAGCAGCCUGAUUAACCAUACAGUUGCUUCAAAGCCCAAAUACAAUGCAAAUACACCUAUUUUAUAAAUUUUAAGCACUAAGGACAAUUCAGAGAAAUGAAAAGGAGAAGUAGAAUUGGAUUUGAGAGAGAAGCAUCUUUAAUAGGAUUGCACUGCGAUAAAAAGAGUAGUAAUUACUCUAUAUAGUUUUAUUUUUACUUUACAAAAUAUAAAGCAAUAAGAUUUCUGAGGCCUUCAAUAUUUAUUAACCACUAAUUGUAUUAGUUUAUAUCAAACUUACUCCAAAAUAUUAUUUAAAGAGGUAUUAGAUAGAAUAGCGAAGAAGAAUUUUAAAGAUGAUUAUGAAAGAAAAAAGAUGUAAAAGGGUAUGCAAGACCCAUAUUAUGAAAGCAUUACUGUUAUGCAUCAAAUUUAGCUCUGGACACCUUAGAAUUCAGGAAUGAUAUGUAAAAUAAAGAGUGCUCAGGUCUUAAUACCUGGGUGAUGAAAUAAUCUGUACAACAAUCCCCCAUGACACAAGUUUACCUGUGUAACAAACCUGCACGUACUUCUGAACUUAAAAGUUAAAAAAAUGAAACAAAGAGACAGGGGCUUGGGAAAUACAAAUAUAACAAAGAUUUUGCUCUUGUCUUCUAGGAGCUUACAACCCAUGAGGAAAAGCAUAUUUUUUAAAAAAAUAAUAAAACCACAGCAUAAAAUCAAGAGCAGAGUUAAGAUCUUGUUUCUGGAAAGAGAACAGGAUACUUCUUCCUAUAAACUUGAGGGAAAGAUGAUUGGUAAAGCUAUAAACACGUUUUUAGGGUGAAGAGAGGAGACUACAGACAAUGCAUGUCAGGCUUUUAUUUUCUUACUAACUAGUAAAUGAAGUUGCCCACUGCUCUUAGAAGUGGGUUUAUUAUUUCAGGGUCAGUAGAAAAUGUGUACAAUGGUUAUUAAGAAGAAUAUACUAGGAAAGAGAUUUUUCAUUGUACCAAUCACUAAAAGUAGUCUGUCAAUAAAUAUAAAAUAAAGUUGGCUGAUUUUUCUCUAAAUAUUGCAAGAACAUUCUCUAAUGAUCGUCUUUCAGAUCAGAUAAUAUUUGGUAGGCC
rnacentral:lncRNA from 1 species